GGUUCCGUGGCUGAAUGGUUGUGGCUUCUGUCUCUUAAGCAGAAGGUUCAGGGAUCAAAUCCCGGUCGAUCCC
rnacentral:tRNA from 1 species